UUGCUUAUAAAUUUUUUGUCCAUGUGUGUGUGUCCACAUCACCUCCAAAUUAAUAGUUUUGGGACGUUGCUUAUAAAAUUUUUGUAUAUAUAUAUAGAAUUAGGUUACUAUACUAUCUAUAGUACUAGGGCUCCUGUACUGUGUGUGUGUGUGUCCACAUCACCUCCAAACUAAUAGUUUUGGGACGUUGCUUAUAAAAUUUUUGUAUAUAUAUAUAGAAUUAGGUUACUAUACUAUCUAUAGUACCAGGGCUCUGAUACUAUAGUCUUAUUUUCGAUCUUAGGGUGUGUUCAAAUUAACGAUCCACACCGUUAAAUAUGAUUUAGGAUAUAUGAAGUUCUUAGGAAUAAAAUUUUAGUUUUUUUCGACAUCGUUUACUUAGUAAAUAAAUUAUGUCAAAAUAAACGGUGAAAAUUGAAUAAUCUUUAAAAUUUGAGUAUAGGACUUUUAAAUUCAAGAUCAAGAAUGUUAACUUUAAUCUAGAUAGUUUAAAAUAUUUUCUAUCAAAAUUUAAAGAAAUUUAAAUUCGUCUACACCGUUAAACUCCAAACUCACCAUAGUAGCCAAUGAAAAUUGCCAAUUUUGAAAUGGUUUGAUCAUAAAGUAAACUAUGUCGAAAAAAUAUAAAAUUUUAUUUCUAAAAACUUUAAAUGCCUUAGAUCAGUUUUAAUAGUGUGGAUCGUUGAUUUGAACACUCUAAAAUCGAAAACGAUGCUAUAGUACCGGACCUAUAGAUAAUAUAGGUGACUAGCUCAUAUAGAAUUAGGCUACUAUACUAUUUAUAGUACCGAAGUAUGUAUAUAUAUAUAUAUACAGAGUUGGACUGGGCUACUAUUAGUAGCAAAAUCCCAUUAUUGCUACCAGUUUUUUAGCCUUUGGAUCAACUCUUUUCAUUAUUUCUAACCAUUGGAUUAAAUACUAUAACCCAGUGGGGACUACUCAACCCUAGAGGGAACCACUCAACUCUAACCGACUAAUAUCAUUCUGACCCUACAAUUUUUCAUCCAAGGGUUAAAAAUUUGAUAGCAAAAAGAGCGUUUUACUAUUAAUAGUAUUCCAGCCUAAUUCUCUCUCUCUCUCUCUCUCUCUCUCUCUCUCUCUCUCUCUCUCUAUAUAUAUAUAUAUAUAUAUGUGUGUGUGUGUGUGUGUGUGUGUGUGUGUGAGUGCGUCUGGUAUGCUUUUGGAAUUACGGAGCGCUCCGUGCUUCCAAGUUGUUUUCGAUGUUCGGACUUUCGAAUCGACAAUCAGCUCCGUUAGACUUGAUCUAGAAUAUUUGAAUUAUCUAGAAAAUAAAUUUUACGAUUUUUCGAUAUCAUUUGCCUUGUGAUCGAAGUGGCUCAAAAUCAACGGCUGAAAAUAAAAAUUUUACAAAAUAUGAUGAUAUGACAUUAAAAUUUUAGAUCAAAGUUAUUGAUCUUGUUUUGUAUGGUAUAAAGAAUUUUCUAUUAAAAUUUCAUAUGAUUUGGAUAUUUCUACACUGUUAAAAUUUCAAAUGGCUCACCACGGCCAUUAAAAUUAUUGAUUUUGAGCCCCUUCGAUCACUAGACAAAUGAUAUCGAAAAAAUCACAAAAUUUAUUUUCUAGGUACUUCAAAUACUCUAGAUCAAUUCUAACGGAACCGAUCGUUGAUUCGAAAGUCCGAACAUCGAAAACAACUUGAAAGUACAGAAGGCUCCGUGCUUCCAGAAGCAUACCAGCCCACUCUACAUAUAAUGGCUAAAAUAUAGAUAUUUUUUCAAAUAUAUCGUAUGUUACACUUUAUUGUUACACAAAAAAUAUGCACUUAACUCUUCCUUA
rnacentral:lncRNA from 1 species